CGGCGUGCCUAACACAUGCAAGUCGAACGAAGCACUGUGGAAAGAGACUCGGUCAAUUGAAACUUUGACUUAGUGGCGGACGGGUGAGUAAUGCAUGAGCAACCUGCCCUGGGAGAGGGGGACAACAGCUGGAAACGGCUGCUAAUACCGCAUGAUGUUGCGGGGAGGCAUCUUCCUGCAACCAAAGAUUUAUCGCUCUGGGAUGGGCUCAUGUCUGAUUAGUUAGUUGGCGGGGCAACGGCCCACCAAGACUUCGAUCAGUAGCCGGACUGAGAGGUUGAACGGCCACAUUGGGACUGAGAUACGGCCCAGACUCCUACGGGAGGCAGCAGUGGGGAAUAUUGGGCAAUGGGCGCAAGCCCUGACCCAGCAACGCCGCGUGAAGGAAGAAGGCUUUCGGGUUGUAAACUUCUUUUAUCAGGGACGAAGAAAGUGACGGUACCUGAUGAAUAAGCCACGGCUAACUACGUGCCAGCCGCAGC
rnacentral:rRNA from 1 species